rnacentral:lncRNA from 1 species
GCAAAUCCCGAGAGCGAGCAGUGCCCAAAGCGAGCAUUCCCCGGUACCGAACCAAAAAACCGAACUCAUCCCGGCCUUUCCCCGGUACCGGAACCGACGCGAUCCGAACCCUCCCGGUGUCCCCUCGCCAUGCGGCCCGCUACCCCCGCCACGCUGCCCGGUACCCCUGGGGCGGCUCCGCGGUAAAACCGGGGUGGUUCCGGUAAAACCGGGUCGGUUCCGGUAAAACCGGGUCGAUUCCCGCUAAAACCGGGGCGGUUCCGGUAAAACCGGGUCGAUUCCCGGUAACACCGGUUGUCUAUUCCCGUUCCCCCCGGUUGUUUCCCAUUCCCCGGUUGUCUCUGGUUCCCGGCUGUCUCUGUUCCCCGGUCAUCUCCCGGUUCCCCGGCUGUCCCGGUUCCCGGUCACCUCCCCCUUCCCGGCUGUCUCCAUUCCCCGGUUAUCUCCAUUCCCCGGUUGUCUCCAUUCCCCGGCUGUCCCGUUCCCCGGUCGUCUCCCGGUUCCCGGCUGUCCCGGUUCCCCGGCUGUCUCCAUUCCCCGGCUGUCUCCAUCCCCCCGGCUGUCCCGGUUCCCCGGCUGUCCCGGUUCCCCGGUUGUGUCCCGUUCUCCGGCUGUCCCGUUCCCCGGCUGUCCCGUUCCCCGGUCGUCUCCCAGUCCCCGGUUGUCUCCGGUUCCCCAGUUGUGUCCCAUUCUCCGGCUGUCCCAGUUCCCCGGCUGUCUCCAUUCCCCGGCUGUCCCGGUUCCCCGGUUGUGUCCCGUUCUCCGGCUGUCCCGUUCCCCGGCUGUCCCGGUUCCCUGGCUGUCUCCAUUCCCCGGCUGUCCCGGUUCCCGGCUGUCUCCAUUCCCCGGUCACCUCCCGGUUCCCGGUUCCCCGGCUGUCCCGGUUCCCGGUCAUCUCCCGUUCCCCGGUCAUCUCCCAGUUCCCCGGUCAUCUCCCGUUCCCCGGCUGUCUCCGUUCCCCGGUCAUCUCCCGUUCCCCGGCUCCCCCGUUCCCCGGCUGUCCCGGUUCCCGGUUCCCCGUUCCCCGGCUGUCCCGGUUCCCGGUUCCC